GACAGCAGUAGCCGCGGUAAUACGAAGGGGGCUAGCGUUGCUCGGAAUUACUGGGCGUAAAGGGAGCGUAGGCGGGUCGUUAAGUUGGGGGUGAAAGCCCGGGGCUCAACCUCGGAAUUGCCUUCAAAACUGGCGACCUUGAGUAUGGGAGAGGUGAGUGGAACUCCGAGUGUAGAGGUGAAAUUCGUAGAUAUUCGGAGGAACACCAGUGGCGAAGGCGGCUCACUGGUCCAUUACUGACGCUGAGGUGCGAAAGCGUGGGGAGCAAACAGGAUUAGAGACCCCUGUAGUCCCUGUCUCUUAUAA
rnacentral:rRNA from 1 species